rnacentral:rRNA from 1 species
UACCAGCUCUCCGAGUGGUGUGGAUGUUUAUUGGGCCUAAAGCAUCCGUAGCUGGCUGGACAAGUCCCCUGUUAAAUCCACCGAUUUAAUCGUUGGUGUGCGGGGGAUACUGUUCGGCUAGGGGACGGGAGAGGCCGACGGUAUUUUCGGGGUAGGGGUGAAAUCCUAUAAUCCCGGGAAGACCACCAGUGGCGAAGGCUGUCGGCUAGAACGCGCCCGACGGUGAGGGAUGAAAGCUGGGGGAGCGAACCGGAUUAGAUACCCGGGUAGUCCCAGCUGUAAACGAUGCAGGCUAGGUGUUUGGGCGGCCACGUGCCGCUCUAGUGCCGCAGAGAAGUCGUUAAGCCUGCCGCCUGGGGAGUACGGCCGCAAGGCUGAAACUUAAAGGAAUUGGCGGGGGAGCACCACAAGGGGUGAAGCUUGCGGUCU